UGUUUCACUCUAUAUGCAUCCGAAGAAGUGGGCUGUAGUCCACGAAAGCUUAUGCUCUAAUAAAUUUGUUAGUCUCUAAGGUGCCACAAGUACUCCUGUUCUUUUUCCCAGUCCUCCUGUUAACUAGCUGACAGAGACAAAGGAAUAUUUUCGGUUGAAAGAGCAAGUUCAGGGAGAUGCAUUUGGUGACAAAGGAUUACACAGCAAAAAAUGUAGUAUAAAAUACAGCAUUUGUAUUUUAAGCCUGUAACUGCAUGGCAUGCUGAGAGUUUGUAGGUGGUACCUGCCCUGUCAGCAGUGGUUUUGGCUUUUUCUCCAUCUGUACUCAUUAAAGGAUGGCUUGCUAAGGCUUUCUUUCCUUCAUCUGCUAGUUCUCUAUUGAUAUAUGGAUUUGUGAUGACGUGCCACCCCUUAUUUUGUGUUUAGAGACAAGUUUAUUAAUCUUAUUUAGGCCUAUAUGGCCAAUUAAGUAACUGGUCUGCCUACCCACAUCUGCCUUCUUUUUCUGUUCCUUAUGAAAAGCAAAACUAUCUUAUUCGCCACUCCUUGAAUUACCCACACACCCCACUAUCUUUUAAGAUGUUUUCAAGAUUGCCAGAAUUGCCUCUUUUUUUUUAAUCAUGCAUGUAAGGAAAGAAAUAGCUUUCAGAGAAGAGCAUAACCUGAUGACCAUUAUCAUGAAAGAUUUGGGAUAAGGGCUCAAUCUGUCGAACUGGGGAGCUGUCGUCUUAAAUCAGCAAAGCCCCCAAAUACAUGAGUCAGCUGUUAAAAUUAAGCACGUGCUGAAGUGUUCUGCUGGAUUGGGUCCAGAACGCACAGCACUCUGUAGGGCCCUGUCUGAGGAUCCCACGUCGCCUGCCUUGUCCUUAAGACUUUGCUCUUGAGACACACAGGUUCAUCAGCAUCUGAGCCAAAGGAUGGGGAAGUUUUUCCACUGUGAAUGCUCUUCAGCAGCUCAAGUAGGGAAGCUGUCUUCACAAAAUGAGGAUGUUCUCAGCCUUUAGCAUUAAUUCCUCUUAUAUUCUCCAACGGCGGUGAAUCACAUGCAGGAGAGAAACUCACUGAUGUCAGAUUUGUUCACAAGUGCCUGAAUAAUGCUUAUUUAAUACCAGAAAACCAGGAAAAUUACACUGUCUACAUAAUAUCUAUAUAAAAGUUCACUGGCCUCUUAUUGCACCUCCUCACCUGUCUGCCCCAGUAUAUUGCACUAUAUGAGUUUACAAUAUAAAACAAUACACCUCUA
rnacentral:lncRNA from 1 species